rnacentral:rRNA from 1 species
AGUGAACGCUGGUGGUAGGCCUAACACAUGCAAGUCGAACGGCAGCACAGUAAGAGCUUGCUCUUACGGGUGGCGAGUGGCGGACGGGUGAGGAAUACAUCGGAAUCUACUUUUUCGUGGGGGAUAACGUAGGGAAACUUACGCUAAUACCGCAUACGACCUACGGGUGAAAGCAGGGGAUCUUCGGACCUUGCGCGAUUGAAUGAGCCGAUGUCGGAUUAGCUAGUUGGCGGGGUAAAGGCCCACCAAGGCGACGAUCCGUAGCUGGUCUGAGAGGAUGAUCAGCCACACUGGAACUGAGACACGGUCCAGACUCCUACGGGAGGCAGCAGUGGGGAAUAUUGGACAAUGGGCGCAAGCCUGAUCCAGCCAUACCGCGUGGGUGAAGAAGGCCUUCGGGUUGUAAAGCCCUUUUGUUGGGAAAGAAAAGCAGCAGGUUAAUACCCCGCUGUCCUGACGGUACCCAAAGAAUAAGCACCGGCUAACUUCGUG